rnacentral:rRNA from 1 species
GACGAACGCUGGCGGCGUGCUUAACACAUGCAAGUCGAACGGAGAGGCCCUGCUUUUGUGGGGUGCUCGAGUGGCGAACGGGUGAGUAACACGUGAGUAACCUGCCCUUGACUUUGGGAUAACUUCAGGAAACUGGGGCUAAUACCGGAUAGGAGCUCCUGCUGCAUGGUGGGGGUUGGAAAGUUUCGGCGGUUGGGGAUGGACUCGCGGCUUAUCAGCUUGUUGGUGGGGUAGUGGCUUACCAAGGCUUUGACGGGUAGCCGGCCUGAGAGGGUGACCGGCCACAUUGGGACUGAGAUACAGCCCAGACUCCUACGGGAGGCAGCAGUGGGGAAUAUUGCACAAUGGGCGGAAGCCUGAUGCAGCAACGCCGCGUGCGGGAUGACGGCCUUCGGGUUGUAAACCGCUUUCGCCUGUGACGAAGCGUGAGUGACGGUAAUGGGUAAAGAAGCACCGGCUAACUACGUG